rnacentral:rRNA from 1 species
CAGCAGUGAGGAAUAUUGGUCAAUGGGCGGAAGCCUGAACCAGCCAUGCCGCGUGCGGGAAGAAGGCGCUACGCGUCGUAAACCGCUUUUGUCCGGGGGUAACCGCGGGGACGUGUCCCCGCCUGCAAGUACCGGACGAAUAAGGGUCGGCUAACUCCGUGCCAGCAGCCGCGGUAAUACGGAGGACCCGAGCGUUAUCCGGAUUCAUUGGGUUUAAAGGGUGCGCAGGCGGCCCGGUCAGUCAGCGGUGAAAUGCCCGCGCUUCACGCGGGAGCUGCCGUUGAUACUGCCGGGCUAGAAUCUCAGCGAGGCGGGCGGAAUGCGCGGUGUAGCGGUGAAAUGCAUAGAUAUCGCGCAGAACGCCGAUUGGGGAGCCAGCUCGCCAGCUGGGUAUUGACGCUGAGGCACGAAAGCGUGGGGAUCGAACAGGAUUAGA